rnacentral:rRNA from 1 species
UAGGGCCUACGGGAGGCAGCAGUGGGGAAUAUUGCACAAUGGGGGAAACCCUGAUGCAGCGACGCCGCGUGAAGGAAGAAGGCUUUCGGGUUGUAAACUUCUUUUCUGGGGGACGAAGAAAGUGACGGUACCCCAGGAAUAAGCCACGGCUAACUACGUGCCAGCAGCCGCGGUAAUACGUAGGUGGCAAGCGUUAUCCGGAUUUAUUGGGUGUAAAGGGCGUGUAGGCGGGAAUGCAAGUCAGAUGUGAAAACUAUGGGCUCAACCCAUAGCCUGCAUUUGAAACUGUAUUUCUUGAGUGCUGG